AGAGUUUGAUCCUGGCUCAGGAUGAACGCUGGCGGCGUGCUUAACACAUGCAAGUCGAGCGAGAAAAAUUUCUUCGGGAAUUUUUCUAGCGGCGGACGGGUGAGUAACACGUGGGCAACCUGCCUUAUAGAGGGGAAUAGCCUUCCGAAAGGAAGAUUAAUACCGCAUAAUAUUAUUGAAAGGCAUCUUUUAAUAAUCAAAGGAGCAAUCCGCUAUAAGAUGGGCCCGCGGCGCAUUAGCUAGUUGGUGAGGUAACGGCUCACCAAGGCGACGAUGCGUAGCCGACCUGAGAGGGUGAUCGGCCACAUUGGAACUGAGACACGGUCCAGACUCCUACGGGAGGCAGCAGUGGGGAAUAUUGCACAAUGGGGGAAACCCUGAUGCAGCAACGCCGCGUGAGUGAUGAAGGUCUUCGGAUUGUAAAGCUCUGUCUUUAGGGACGAUAAUGACGGUACCUAAGGAGGAAGCCACGGCUAACUACGUGCCAGCAGCCGCGGUAAUACGUAGGUGGCAAGCGUUAUCCGGAUUUACUGGGCGUAAAGGGAGCGUAGGCGGAUACUUAAGUGGGAUGUGAAAUACCCGAGCUUAACUUGGGUGCUGCAUUCCAAACUAGGUAUCUAGAGUGCAGGAGAGGAGAAUGGAAUUCCUAGUGUAGCGGUGAAAUGCGUAGAGAUUAGGAAGAACACCAGUGGCGAAGGCGAUUCUCUGGACUGUAACUGACGCUGAGGCUCGAAAGCGUGGGGAGCAAACAGGAUUAGAUACCCUGGUAGUCCACGCUGUAAACGAUGGAUACUAGGUGUUGCGGGUAUCGACCCCUGCAGUGCCGUAGCUAACGCGAUAAGUAUCCCGCCUGGGGAGUACGCACGCAAGUGUGAAACUCAGAGGAAUUGACGGGGACCCGCACAAGCGGUGGAACAUGUGGUUUAAUUCGAAGCAACGCGAAGAACCUUACCAGGACUUGACAUCUGGAGAACCUUUAUGAAAGUAGAGGGUGCCCUUCGGGGAACUCCAAGACAGGUGGUGCACGGUUGUCGUCAGCUCGUGUCGUGAGAUGUUGGGUUAAGUCCCGCAACGAGCGCAACCCUUGUUAUUAGUUGCCAGUAACGGCAUGCUGUUGCUGUGCUCUCUAAUAAGACUGCCGGUGAUAAACCGGAGGAAGGUGAGGACGACGUCAAAUCAUCAUGCCCCUUAUGUCCUGGGCUACACACGUGUUACAAUGGCUGGUACAACGAGCCGCUAACUCGCGAGAGCAAGCAAAUCUCUUAAAGCCAGUCUCAGUUCGGAUUGCACUCUGCAACUCGAGUGCAUGAAGUCGGAAUCGCUAGUAAACGCAGAUCAGCACGCUGCGUUGAAUACGUUCCCGGGUCUUGCACUAACCGCCCGUCA
rnacentral:rRNA from 1 species